AUGGAGGGCGGAGGGACAGCCACCCUGUUGUGUAGCUCGGAGCAGCUGUGUCCUUCAGUGCAGGUCCAGCCAAGAGCCGUGGGCCACAGAUGACGCUGGUGGGGAAGCAGAGGGCAGACUAGGCAGAGGCAAGGCUUUCCUGUGCCCUGAGCUGUCAGAGAUGGGCCAGGGCCUUCAGCUUCCUCGAUAGGGCAGAAGUGACCACGCUGGCUCCAUUCAGCAAAGGACGUGGACGGAGCUGCCGGGCUUGUCUGAGAGGAGGAGAAAUGUGGAAUUGAGUGAGGCUCUCUAAGAAGGUUCUGCUGGAGUUGAGAAAAAUUAGGGUGAGGCACCUCCCCGAUUUUAUGUCCUUUUUCCUGGGUCCAGCCUCCUGAACAGCUACCAUUCGCUUCUGUGAGACACCUGUCGGUGCCUCCUUUUCCAGCCCUUAAUGGAACGUUCCUCUCCCAGCCACCUCAGACUUCCCAUACCACCCUCCCUGGACAGGAAGCGUUUUUACAGGAGUUUGAAGCUUCAGGAGUGCCCUCCGGCCACAUGAAGACAAGGCGCUAACAAACAUGGCGUUCUGCAAAUUGCACCAUCGCCAACUCCUGUCUUACUCUCACAGAGGAUAAUAACCUGUGCAGAGAGAGGGUCUCCUGUCCUGAAGUCACAGCCCGGAUCUCCAGGCUGGCUCUGCUGCCUCUGAAUGAUUUGUGGGUCACACACGCCAACAGCAUCGCCAAGGGCUGACAUCAGCCUGCUUGAGCCACGGAAACUGAAUGGGCAAGGAUGAGUUCCCCAGCACAGAGGGAGGCAUCCUCUGUCAAGACCAUCUGCGCAUGUGCUGUGCAGUCUCCAGUCUGCACUGUGAGCAGUGUGUCUCAACGGCUUUUGAGAACUGCUUCGAGAGGGGACCAGAUGCGCAGAGACAAGCUUCCAGCCUGGCUAGGGACGGACCCUCUGGGGAUGCUCCUCUCUGGCCGGGCAGCAGUAGAAGCACCUGCCUCCAUCCACAUCC
rnacentral:lncRNA from 1 species